ensembl:lncRNA
GUCUGAGCAAGCUCUGGGAGUUGGUGAUGGACAGGGAGGCCUGGUGUGCUGCAGUCCAUGGGGUCCCAGAGUCAGACAGGACUGAGCGCCUGAACUGAUCUUUUAAUUUAAUGCUUAGAAUAACCACUAAGGUCUGCUCCCUGAUUUUCCCAAAGGAACGACUCUUAACUUCCUUUACAUGUGAAUAGGUGAAUCUGAUUUCACUUUGAACUGCAGACAUAGCCAAUCAAAACAUUGUAAACCUCUGGCUUCAGUGAUAGAUUCUGGACAUCUGAACCAUAUGUUGAUAUCUAGGCCAGUGUUCUUGCCUGGAGAAUCCCAUGGACGGAGAAGCCUGGUAGGCUGCAGUCCAUGGGGUCGCACAGAGUUGGACACGACUGAAGCGACUUGGCAGCAGCAGCAGCAGCAGGCCAGUUGAAUCAAAAGAAACAGAACAGUUCUGGAGCUGGGUAGGAGUCAAUUUCUUUCUGUUGGGAUUGUUGUGAAUGUAGAAUAUAAGCCUGGGGUUUCGAGCACCUAUCAUAAAUGAUGAACCUACCUGACAAUAAAACUAACAUAGACAAAUGAGAGCAUUUGACUCACUUGAGUCACUUCCAUCUAGCUGAACCUAAAAAUAAUCUACCCUUGAAUUUUUUUCAUAAUGUGAGUCAAUCCCCUGCCUCCACUUCCCACUUUCUUGGGGGAU